UAGUGUCCCAACCAAUAAACAAGCAAAUAGUAUUCAAACCAUGUCCAUGUCUGAUAGUCUUGUAUGGGGUUCAGAUAAUAAGUUAUGGAAGCCAAGAUGGUGGGUAAAAUACGGAACCCAAAUGUCGUAUACAUGACAAAAAAUGUAAAGUAAAUGCUCUCGCAAAUUAAAUUAGAGAGAAAUUAUCAUUGUGUUUCGAAUAUUGUGUAGAGAAAUCUAGAUUGGGCAAAAUGCAAAGGCAAAGAGCUGGAAUAUUGUUUUGACUUGGAUGAAUUGUGCAUGAACAUAAUAGCCACCAGGAGGUGAGCUUGGGCUCUAAGUUUUGGAGUUCUACUUGGAAUAUUAGAAAAUGUUGUAGGUGAGGA
rnacentral:lncRNA from 1 species